AUGAACCCACAGAACUGGGUUGUUCACCUGCUGGUUUCCUGACUGUGAUUCCUUGAAGUUGAGAAGAAACUGUCUUCUGCACUUGGGCAGUCACAGGGCAUUUGGACUCAUUUAAAGUUCUGUGGUCCCAGCACGCAAUGUUAGCCUGUGAGUCGAUCCUUUCACAGUGAUGUUUAUCAGGUUUCCUAGUUAUUUCUGCUAGAACACCGUGAUUUUAAACUAUCUUUCUACCACAUGGAAAACUCGCGCUUUCAUGACUUGCUUUACUUAAAAAUAUGGAAGCAAGAGCUAAUUUAAGGUGCUCUUGAAACCAUCCUUGGUGACCCUGCCUGUUACGCAGCAUAUCAGGUGCUUAAGACAAAAGACUUAGAAUUCAAAGCCAGCAACCAUCAGGAUUUCUGCCUGUGUUAGGUUUGAUGUUCCGUAUUGAACUCUCCGUCUCUCAUGUGAGCCUGUCAUCGUUCAUAUUUGGCAAUAUUUGAACAUCAGUGGUGUCCGCCUUGAACUUCCGUUAUUUCUCCGAAGCAGAACACCGAGAUAAUUCCUUCUUGAAUACAAAGGUAUCAGAAAUAUGUUCAUAGCAUUGCCAAAUGAGGUCGGUAUAUUAAAGAAGUUACACUGGAAACACAAUAUUGAGAAUUCCCAUCUCUUCUUGGGAAGAUUUAUUCCUGUGAAGUUCAAGCUUGAGUCAAAGUUACAAACCCCAUUGCAGAAAGGGCUUCAUACUUCCCUGAUACAUUAUGAUUCAAAAGGAAGCUGUUUCAGAGCAAAGACUGUGCAGAGUCCCUAUUGAGUUCUUUGUCAGGGAGUGUGUUUACCUAUGGAUGCAGAACAGCUUCCUCGAUUUAGAGAAACUAGAGUCAAGAAGCAGUACAUUCACCUGGACACUUGAUUGGCAUGUCUGUUUAGAAUGAGGUCAUGAGUGGUCUGUCCUCCCCCUGAAUAUUGCAGUGGAAGGCAUUGUCAGCAACCACAAGGACAGAAUUUCUGAGCAUAGCAAGUUUUCUAAUAUGUGUAUGUGUUGAGGUUCGGUGUGUUGCUAUGUUUUGUUAUGCUAAAUUCUCUACUCAAAGGUCUAGACCCUCUACUGACUUCUCACAUUUACAAGGUUCUGUUGUGUAAACCUUGUUCCUUGGUUUAAAACUACUGGAUAAAUCAAGUUGGCUACAGCCAAUUACUGGAGGGAUUUGAGGCAGGUGAGUUUUGAGUUAGCUGGUAGGAGGUGGAGAAGAGAGAGAAGGAAGAGACACCAGGACAAGGAGGAGGAAUGGGAAAAAAAAGGACGAAGCUGCCCUGGGGCAGAUGGACCAUGAGCAUGUGGCCAGGAGAAACUGCAACUUCCACUGGGAAGGCAGCCAGGACAGCAGUUAGAAGAGUAGAUUAAGGGUUGCAGCUCAGUAAUUGUCAAAGCCAAAUGAAAUAACCCUAAUCCGAAUUGAGUUUAUUUGUAAGGCGUAACCUUAAAUUGGUUAUAUUACACAUGUAUAUGUGUACAUCUAUGUUUGUGUCUGCUACAUGCACACCUACCUUAGAGGGUCGUCAUUCACGUGAAAUGUGCCCAUCCUUGAAGUUGCAGCAUCCAUUUACAAGUCUUCUGCAGUCUCCAUUUCUUUGCAUUGUAAUUGUGUGAUUCAAUAGGAGGAGGAGCUACCAUAGUGUAAUCACAACCUGAACAUGUGAUCAAAGAAGAGCCUAAUUCAGCAGAAUAUUAGGGACCCAGGCAUACUUAUCAAAACAUCUAAUGGAGCCAGAUAUUCAGGCUUAAUAUGUUUGUUUAGACCAAGUUCACCAUUUUAAGUUUAUUUUCUACUGUCAUUUUUUUUAAUAUCCUGACCAUUUAGUUUUCUCCCUUUGAAACAUUCUCCAAUAGGUGCCAUGUUUGACAAAAAAUCACUUUAAAAUCUUUGCUUACAAACUAAAGAGAUUGUUCAAUAGUUGAGAGUAAUUACUGUCUUAUAAAAGAUGAGUUUGUCUUCUAACACACUUAUAAUGCCUUUCAAGCACAUAUAAGCAUUAGUUCUAGAGGAUCAGAUAUCUUCUUUUCACAUCAUCAGCAUCAAUUGUAGAAAAGAUAGGCACACAGACAGACACACACAGAAACAAAUUUCUAGUAAAGUGAAAUAAAAUGUAUAAUUGAAAAUGUAUGCUGCCCAUGGUGAUACAUCCACCUAUUUUGACUAGACAGGGGUCAGAGAGAGCUGGAUCUCUCAGUUGGAGGAUGGCAAUUUAUAAAGUGAAUUUCAAGAAUAUCAAUGCAGAAACCGUGUCUGGAACAAGUACAAUAACAAUAAGAAGUAAAAUCAAGGCUUCAUGUUUAGAAAACAAUGCUAUUUGAAAGGAAUAUUGUUUUUUUUUUUAACUGUUUAAACAUAACACAAAUUGUUAAACACCUACCAAUUGCCAUUUUAAAAGAUAGAUACUUUCACCAGCAAAAGCCCACUGAAAUAGAGCCCUUCCUAGUGCAGUUCUCAAGAACCCCAUAUGUCUACCAUUUUGGCUGACUUGAAGUUUCAGAGGUUUACUCCAUUAUAAUCAUGGUGGGAAACAUGGCAGCAUGCAGGCUGACAUGGUGCCUGAGAGGAAGCUGAGACUUCUACAUCUUGAUCCAAAGUCAGCCAGAAGGAGCUUAUGUCCCACAUUGGAGACAGGUAGUGAUACGUGAACACACACACACACACACACACACACACACACACACGAAUGACCUGGAAGCCUGUCUCUACAGUGACACACUUCCUCUAAAACUCCAUACCGACUCCAAUAAGGCCCCAUUUCCUAUUAGCAUUCAAAGAUAUGAGUUUAUGGGAGAAAAAAUCGUUUACAAAAUAUCACAUUUCAGGUCCUGGUGCCCAUAAGCCUCUGAUUAUAACACAAUGGAGAGUGCAUUUUGUCCAUCUUGAAAACUCUCCAUAGUCUAUCACCAUCUCAACAGUGUUUAAAAGCAAAGUUCAAAGUCUACAACAUUUGGGAUCCACAAUCAGGACUCCUCCAAAGGAAGAGUUUCAAUUCUCCAGCUCUGUGCUCUGUAGCCCUUUAAGCUCUGGCUGGUUCCACUCCAUUUGUACUUCACUUGUUGGUGAUNNNNNUAUAUCCAGCUUUAUCAUCUGAUUAACAUCACCAGUUAUUAGUUACUGUCCAUGGAAUGAGCUUUAAAUUCAACCAGAAAAUAAUUGGUCACUCCCAUAACUUUGCUGUCCCUAUUGCUCCACUGGCACUUCAAUUUGCCUGACCAUUUAUUCUACUCCCUGUGUUCACUGCUGGGUAAGACUGUUUAUUCAGGUACUUCCAUGGUAGCAUACCUAGAUUGUGCCACCAAUAUGAAAGGUAGCCAGCAGACAGCAAGCUUCUCAGUUGGUACCAGCUGAGGGUAUAAAUGAACAGCCACUAUUCAUCAAAUGAGAAUUCUAUCUUGACUUGAGAACUGGCAAAUGAAAUAGCCCAUGUGAGACUUACAACUUUUCCUUAUUAAUAAGCCGAUAAGGGUAUUCGUGAGCAAGCUUGGGCUUCCACUCAGAAAGGAUCUUAACAGGAAAGGGAGUAGGGGUAGAGUUUUAAAGGUCAAAAGGCUGCACUCACAUCACAUGAGAUGCACACAAAGAGUUCUGUUUUGUUUGGUUGAUUUUUUGUUAUUGUUUGGUUUUUCACUGUACGCCUGCACAAUGGACAGUUUUUAGAAGGGAUCCUUUGUAUACAUAUAAAUCCUGACUCAGCAAAGACAAAUUUCUUUUUCAGAAGAUGGGAGAUAACCCAUUCAGAAGAUGUCAGGAUAACCUGGCCUGGCCUAAUUCACCUUAUUCCCCAGUUCUAUUAGUUCUUUUCAAAUCCUUGAAUUUUAUGAAGGGGCAAGAACUGGGCCCUUGGACUCAUUUUUCUUGAGGCAACCUAACAUUUGAAAAAGAUUAACAACCAGUUAAUUCAUCAGAGCCCAGUUGUAAGAUCAGAUGUAGCACAACAGACAAGAGCACGAGACUUGAACAAAGCCUUUUCCCUUACAUCCUUACCAUGUCAUGGUAUGUAGCUCACAUGCAAUUUACUCUGAUAGGGUCCAUUUCCUGUCCAAGAGAAGUGGUAUUCUUGAGCCUGGGGUUGUCCUGCCAUCUAAGGAUAUUGUAGAUUUA
ensembl:antisense